CUUUUGCUUUAUCAGUGCUUGGGCUUUGUCUGUUUUAAAAGGCCUCCAAACACAGUGCCAUGAUAUCAGGCACAGAGGAACUCCAGGCAUUUUUUUCUGAACCCUUGAAAAGCAUGUUAAACUAGCUUACUCUUGGUUCAUUAAACAUGUUGCCAUACUGCCAGGUGACCUUUCAGUUGCAAAUCUCUUCAAAACUACUUCUUCUUGCAUCAGCUAUUCAGCAUGUUCUCAGAUUGCAGACAUUGUCUUAUCAUUUUAUAAUCAUCAUAAAUCAUAGGAUAAGAAGGACCAUGUUUAUUAAGACAAAAGGCAAUGUGAAUAUGUUCCUUUUGGAAAAGGAUCCUGUGAUGAGAGGCCCAGGUACAGAGAUGAAGAGAAAUCACCAGCUGCUCCUCUCAGCCUUGGCAUUGCCUAUGCAAGACAAGCUCCUGUUUCCAGAGGAUCCCAACUAGAGGGUUUGCAACAAAACAAAGCAAAUCUGCAUGCCAGAAUGCAAAGCAGAACACCCUAAUAUGGGUCAGUACAUCCACCACCUCAUGAC